GCGCUGCAUUAGCUAGUUGGUAAGGUAACGGCUUACCAAGGCAACGAUGCAUAGCCGACCUGAGAGGGUGAUCGGCCACACUGGAACUGAGACACGGUCCAGACUCCUACGGGAGGCAGCAGUAGGGAAUCUUCCGCAAUGGGCGAAAGCCUGACGGAGCAACGCCGCGUGAGUGAUGAAGGUCUUCGGAUCGUAAAACUCUGUUAUUAGGGAAGAACAUAUGUGUAAGUAACUGUGCACAUCUUGACGGUACCUAAUCAGAAAGCCACGGCUAACUACGUGCCAGCAGCCGCGGUAAUACGUAGGUGGCAAGCGUUAUCCGGAAUUAUUGGGCGUAAAGCGCGCGUAGGCGGUUUUUUAAGUCUGAUGUGAAAGCCCACGGCUCAACCGUGGAGGGUCAUUGGAAA
rnacentral:rRNA from 1 species